rnacentral:lncRNA from 1 species
GCUUGGAGGCUUGAUCGGGUGUGAUCAGACAUGCAAAUGCAUGAUUGGACGGCCAGAAAAGAUGUGCAUUGUUGAUCAGACAGUCUAAACAUAUGUGAAUUCUGAUCAAGAGUGUUUCUUCGAUCAAGAGUGGGUUUUGUGGUCUAUACAGAAGGCCUGACGGUCCGAGGAGAUCUGUGCGCAGUCGGCAGAGCAGAUGCAGAUAGAGCACCGAUAGAAAGUCGGUGCCAGAGCAGAGC